ACCUAUAGUCUCAGCUACUCGGGAGGUUUACACAGGAGGAUCAUUUAAGCCCAGGAGUUCUGGGCUGUAGUGCGCUAUGCUGACCCACUAAAUUCUGCAUCAACAUGCUGACCUUCUGGGAGUAGGGGACCACCAGGUUGCCUAAGGAGGGGCAAACAGGUCCUGGUCAGAAACAGAGCAGGUGAAAGCUCCUGGGCUGAUUAAUAGUGGGAUAGCACUUGUGAAUAGCCACUGCACUUCAGCCUGGGCAACAUAGCAAGACUUUGUCUCU
rnacentral:SRP_RNA from 1 species